rnacentral:lncRNA from 1 species
GGUGUUUGACUUCUAGUUUCAUCCCUAGUUAAGAGAGAAAGGGGGCUUUGCGGUAAGUUCAUUGCCAGUUCCUGUGAGAGUGAGAGUUUCAUCCCCUGUUACAAUUCUCAAGUAGGGUUUUGGUGCUGCCACUGUUACAGUGAAGAAAGUAUGUGAGAAGAGGUCGGCUUGGUAAGCUAUUCAAGUUACGUUUCGAGUAGCUAGUUGUCUGCUUGCCCCUUCGUCUGAGUUGCUAGUGGAAUGAUUUGUCUCAUCUGUAUUUGUAGUAUUAGUAGCUGGGCUUGGCUUGGCCCGGAGCAUAAGUUGAAGUCGAGGAAGAAGUUGGUCCAUAACUGUGCCUUUGUAGUGGGAGUUUGCUUGUUCCCUUGCUUCCUUACCUGUUAUAGCUGAAUCUUCACUGCUUACAUCUAUAAGAAGGCUCGCACUGCUGAUAUCUAAGGUAUAUGUUAUUACCUAUACUUAAAGGAAAGACAAAGGUCGAAAAAUACUUAAAGGAAAGACAGAGGUGGAGUAGCCGAAUUAAGGCAUAAAAUCAAGGGGUAAUAGGGGGAAACACUAAGAAUUGAGUUGAAGCCGCUGGUAGAUCAGCAGAAUCAUAAGUGGAAAGAGCAGAGGCGGAGUAUCCCCAGUAAGCCUUAGCGCUCGUACGAAUCCCGGU